rnacentral:snoRNA from 1 species
AACCCAUGAUUUGGGCACUUUCUUAAUAUUAUCUUGAAUCUUUCUCAUGUUUCACAGAAAGAUUUUCCUGCUCCUUGUCAGAACAUAGAGAUUUCAGACUUUACUUU